rnacentral:rRNA from 1 species
CGGACGGGUGAGUAAUGCUUGGGAAUCUGGCUUAUGGAGGGGGAUAACUACGGGAAACUGUAGCUAAUACCGCGUAAUAUCUUCGGAUUAAAGGGUGGGACUUUCGGGCCACCUGCCAUAAGAUGAGCCCAAGUGGGAUUAGGUAGUUGGUGGGGUAAAGGCCUACCAAGCCGACGAUCUCUAGCUGGUCUGAGAGGAUGACCAGUCACACUGGAACUGAGACACGGUCCAGACUCCUACGGGAGGCAGCAGUGGGGAAUAUUGCACAAUGGGGGGAACCCUGAUGCAGCCAUGCCGCGUGAAUGAAGAAGGCCUUCGGGUUGUAAAGUUCUUUCGGUGAUGAGGAAGGUGUUUGUUUUAAUAGAGCAAGCAAUUGACGUUAGUCACAGAAGAAGCACCGGCUAACUCCGUGCCAGCAGCCGCGGUAAUACGGAGGGUGCGAGCGUUAAUCGGAAUGACUGGGCGUAAAGGGCACGCAGGCGGUGACUUAAGUGAGAUGUGAAAGCCCCGAGCUUAACUUGGGAAUUGCAUUUCAUACUGGGUCGCUAGAGUAUCUUAGGGAGGGGUAGAAUUCCACGUGUAGCGGUGAAAUGCGUAGAGAUGUGGAGGAAUACCGAAGGCGAAGGCAGCCCCUUGGGAAUAUACUGACGCUCAUGUGCGAAAGCGUGGGGAGCAAACAGGAUUAGAUACCCUGGUAGUCCACGCUGUAAACGCUGUCGAUUUGGGGAUUGGGCUUAGAGCUUGGU